rnacentral:rRNA from 1 species
CACGUAGGCACCAAGCGUUGUUCGGAUUUACUGGGCGUACAGGGAGCGUAGGCGGUUGGGUAAGCCCUCCGUGAAAUCUCCGGGCCUAACCCGGAAAGUGCGGAGGGGACUGCUCGGCUAGAGGAUGGGAGAGGAGCGCGGAAUUCCCGGUGUAGCGGUGAAAUGCGUAGAGGAUCGGGGAGGAAGGCCGGUGGCGAAGGCGGCGCUCUGGAACGUUUC